rnacentral:rRNA from 1 species
AUGAGUUCUUGGCAGGAAAACACCAGCCCCUACAACUGGACGGGCAUCAUGUGCACGGCUGUUCCCCAUGGCCGCCGCAUGCCCUGGGUGGUGACCAACAUCUCCUUGCCAGAUGCUGGCAUCCGUGGCCAGCUUGGUGAGCUCAACUUCUCGGCUCUUCCGUUCCUCGCAUACAUUGACCUUACGAACAACAGUUUCCAUGGUGCACUGCCCCCUAGUAUCAACUCCCUGUCAGCACUUUUGGUACUUAAACUUCCAUACAACCAGCUCACAGGGAAAAUUCCUCAUGAGAUUGGUGACCUGCAAAGUCUCAGAUGGCUUGAUCUCUCAUUCAAUAGACUCGCAGGACAUAUCCCUGCGUCUUUAGGCAACCUCACGAUGUUAACUAAUCUUACCAUUCACCAAACCAUGGUAUCAGGUCCCAUUCCUGAGGAGAUUGGGAGGCUUGUCAACCUACAAAUUCUACAGCUAAGCAACAACACCUUAAGCGGCAUGAUACCAAAAACCCUUGGAAACCUGACCCAGCUAUAUCAUUUGGACUUGUUUAGUAAUCAACUUUCAGGGCCUAUACCCCAAGUACUAGGCAGACUAGUCCAUUUGCAAAUUCUUAUUCUUUGUAAAAAUGAUUUUUCAGGUCCAAUUCCAAUCUCCAUAACCAAUCUCACUAAGAUGAACACACUUUAUCUCAAUGAAAAUCAAAUCACAGGUCCAAUACCCCCAGAACUAGGCACCCUCGAUAUGCUAAACAUCCUUAAACUCAAAAAAAAUCAAAUAACAGGUUCAAUGCCCCUAGAACUUGGCAACCUCACUAUGCUAAAUUCUCUUUAUCUCUAUACAAAUCAAAUCACGGGUCCAAUACCUUUAGAAUUGGGAUACUUGCUAAAUCUCCAGGAUUUAGAACUGGAUGACAACCAAAUAUCUGGCUCUAUUCCUGGCAUCUUAGGAAACUUAACCAAGCUAGUACAACUUUCCCUCUCUGAAAAUCAGAUAACCGGUUUCAUCCCCCCAGGAAAUUGGCAAUCUGAUGAACCUCCAAUAUUUAUACUUGGAUCUGAACCAAAUUUCGGGAUCUAUACCGAAAACUUUUGGUAA